CCUACGGGAGGCAGCAGUGGGGAAUAUUGGACAAUGGGGGAAACCCUGAUCCAGCGACGCCGCGUGAGUGAAGAAGUAUUUCGGUUCGUAAAGCUCUAUCAGCAGGAAAGAAAAUGACGGUACCUGACUAAUAAGCCCCGGCUAACUACGUGCCAGCAGCCGCGGUAAUACGUAGGGGGCAAGCGUUAAUCGGAUUUACUGGGCGUAAAGGGAGCGUAGACGGCAGAGCAAGUCUGGAGUGAAAUGCCAGGGCUUAACCCCAGAACUGCACUGGAAACUGUGAUGCUGGAGUACGGGAGAGGUAGGCGGAAUUCCUGGUGUAGCGGUAAAAUGCGUAGAUAUCAAGAGGAACACCGACGGCGAAGGCGACUUGCUAGACUAUAACUGACGUUGAGGCUCGAAGGCGUGGGGAGCAAACAGGAUUAGAUACCCUUGUAGUC
rnacentral:rRNA from 1 species